rnacentral:lncRNA from 1 species
GUUUCUUUGCCUCCUGCAGUCUGUGCCUUCCACCAUGAUCAUGAGGCUUCCCCAGCCACACAGAACUGUAAGUCCAAUUAAACCUCUUUCUUUUGUAAAUUGCCCAGUCUCAGGUAUGUCUUUAUCAGGAGCGUGAAAACAGACUGAUAAACCAAAUACCAUGCUUCUCCAAAGCACUCCGCCCCUGGUAUAUUUCCGGGAGAUAAGCCCGUUUUUCAUAUGAGAACAGUGAGCUCCAAGGAGCGGCCUGCCCUUGGCUUCUGUUCCCAGGGCGAGUGUGAAGGCUGAGCUUUUCCGUUCCCUCUUCCAUGGAGCUUGGCUGGUUCCUAUGAACUGCAAGUUAAGGCAACACUGAUUUGCAACUUCACUAGAUAGGUUGGAGGAGGGGGGCUUACAGCCUCAAAACAACCCUGCUUUCCCUAUCACGGGGCCAGAGGGAGUGGAGCUGCUUCUGAAUGCUUGCUCUGAAUUCAGCCUUGCUGAGUGCUACUCAAGGUAGUUGCAGUCUGGCAUCAUGUGGCACAUCAUCACUGUCUCUUCUGCAAAUUUCUGAGAAUAAGAAGAAUUGGUUGAAAAAACUUCUAACAUCUCCAUCGGUUUGUAAUCAGCGAAUACAAUUAUGAAGCAAUUUCCUACCUGUUUUUUUAUUUGAUCCAUGAACUUUUCAAGAGAUGUGUGCUAUUGCUGUUGUGACCAUUAGCUCCCAUUUCUCAGAUGAGGAAACUGAGGCUCAGUGAGCCUUAAAUGACUUGCCCAAAACUAUAAGAUGGAAAUCUCUGCCCAU